UCAAAUACCAAUCAACAUCCACAUGUUGGACCCCCUACCCACCUCAUUUACUCCACAAUCUAAAAGCCAUUCUUUAAUGAGUGGGUAGAGAAGAUGGUAUGAUAAUGUACUAAUAAUAAAUACAAAUCACGCAAUGCCUUAAUUAAAAAGCACUACUUUAUUAAAAUGAAACAACAGUAAACAUUUUUGCUGUGUUUCACAUCAUCAAAGACAAAGAAAUACCAUUUCUUCCCAAACACCAGAAAUCCAAACUAGGGACCUCGAAAAGGUUAAUGGCGCUUCGUUCAGGAGAAAUAAAGAAGCAGGGAAAUAAAACUUUAAAGUCUACAUAGUUUCAUUUGGGAGUAACAAAAAAUAGUCCUAAGUUUACGGAAAAAUACAAGGAUGAAUCAACAAACCUGGACUGCUUUUUCUUUAAUACAGCCCAGACAACUUGAAACUCUUGCUGUAAACAAAUGAACGAUUAGAAUUGAAUAGAAACAUAUUUGGAAAGUUAUGCUUGCCUUCCCCCCUAGAUUUUUUCCCCUGAUUCUCCCAAACUUUCGCCUCCCAUCAACAAAAAGUUGUACCCACCAAAAUAAUAUAUACUACCCUAUGAAUUUGAUUUGUUUGGCUAAAUGCGAUAAUGAAUUAAUGGUUGUCUCGCUACGCUACGAGCUGAUCAAGUUGCAUCUGCUCAAGCCAAGCUCCUAAAACUGAAUGAUCAACUGAAUCAACUUUGCUCAGACUCUCACCGGAUGGCGCAGUACCCGAAAUGGGAGCUGCCUGCUUCUCUUUCAUCUCAGAUGGUGAUUCUUUGACAAGAGAUUGCACCCAUGAUAGGUCAGGCUCCUCUCCGUUGUUGAGCUGCUCAAAAGAAGAUGAUCGGCGCAUGCGUCCAACUCCACUUCCAUUCACAGACCAGUCAACCUUUCCAGUGGGAGAGCCCCAAUUCGACCAAGAAUUACCUACUGGGGAUCCAACAAUGGAGGCAUUAUAAGAACCAAGAUCACGGGAGCUGAGGCUGCGCAGCUGUUGCUGCUGCUUCUCACGCUGCGCAAAUGCUGAAAGGCGAGCGCUCAUAGGUGAGAUGGGCUCCAUGCUUCUUGGGGACAUCCUUCCAGGUGAUGAAACACCAAAAGAAGCCUGCAAAAGAGGAUGCUCCAUGUUUUUCGGAGAAAAAACAUUAGUGUUAAUUGGAGAAAGCAUGCUCUGCUGUUGUUGGAACUGAAAGAACCAAGAUCACGAGAGCUAAGGCUGCGCAGCUGUUGGUGCUGUUUCUCACGCAGCGCAAAUGCUGAAAGGCGAGCACUCAUAGGUGAGAUGGGCUCCAUGCUUCUUGGGGACAUCCUUCUAGGUGAUGAAACACCAAAAGAAGCCUGCAGAAGAGGAUGCUCCAUGUUUUUCGGAGAAAAGAC
rnacentral:lncRNA from 1 species